rnacentral:tRNA from 1 species
CUAGGUGUGGCUCAGGUGGUAGAGUGCUACCUUGGGGUGGUAGAGGCCGUGGGUUCAAGUCCCGCCACUUAGA